ACGGAAGGCAGCAGUGGGGAAUAUUGCACAAUGGGGGAAACCCUGAUGCAGCGACGCCGCGUGAGCGAUGAAGUAUUUCGGUAUGUAAAGCUCUAUCAGCAGGGAAGAUAAUGACGGUACCUGACUAAGAAGCCCCGGCUAACUACGUGCCAGCAGCCGCGGUAAUACGUAGGGGGCAAGCGUUAUCCGGAUUUACUGGGUGUAAAGGGAGCGUAGACGGUAUAACAAGUCUGGAGUGAAAUGCCGGGGCUCAACCCCGGAACUGCUUUGGAAACUGUUAAACUUGAGUGCCGGAGAGGUAAGCGGAAUUCCUAGUGUAGCGGUGAAAUGCGUAGAUAUUAGGAGGAACACCAGUGGCGAAGGCGGCUUACUGGACGGUAACUGACGUUGAGGCUCGAAAGCGUGGGGAGCAAACAGGAUUAGAUACCCUGGUA
rnacentral:rRNA from 1 species